GAUGAACGCUGGCGGCGUGCCUAAUACAUGCAAGUCGAGCGAAGCGGGGACGGGUGAGUAACACGUGGAUAACCUCCUAUAAGACUGGGAUAACUUCGGGAAACCGGAGCUAAACCGGAUACUUAUAGAUGGAUCCGCGCUGCAGUCGCUAGUUGGUAAGGUAACGGCUGACCAAGGCAACGAUGCAUAGCCGACCUGAGAGGGUGAUCGGGCACAUUUGAACUGAGAGACGGUCCAGACGUCUACGGUAGGCAGCGUUAGGGAAUCUGCCGCAAUGGGCGCAUGCCUGACGUUGCACCUCCGCGUGGUUGAUGAAGUUCUUCGGAUCUGAAAACUCCGUCAUUAGGUAAGCGGUACCUAAUCAGAAAGCCACGGCUAACUACGUGCCAGCAGUCGCGGUAAUUC
rnacentral:rRNA from 1 species